rnacentral:tRNA from 1 species
GCCCAGGUGGCGGAAGUGGUAGACGCGCUAGAUUCAGGUUCUAGUGGCUGGAGGGCCGUGGAAGUUCGAGUCUUCUCCUGGGCA